rnacentral:rRNA from 1 species
UACAGAGGUCUCAAGCGUUGUUCGGAUUCAUUGGGCGUAAAGGGUGCGUAGGCGGCUCGUUAGGUAGGGUGUGAAAGCCCCCGGCUCAACCGGGGAAUUGCGCCCUAAACCGGCGGGCUGGAGUGAGAUAGGGGUGUGUGGAACUUCCAGUGGAGCGGUGAAAUGUGUUGAUAUUGGAAGGAACGCCGGUGGCGAAAGCGACACACUGGGUCUCAACUGACGCUGAGGCACGAAAGCCAGGGGAGCAAACGGG